rnacentral:rRNA from 1 species
CCGAUACUAAUAGCUCGAUUGAUUUACUUUG